rnacentral:rRNA from 1 species
GACGAACGCUGGCGGCGUGCUUAACACAUGCAAGUCGAACGGAAAGGCCCUGCUUUUGUGGGGUGCUCGAGUGGCGAACGGGUGAGUAACACGUGAGUAACCUGCCCUUGACUUUGGGAUAACUUCAGGAAACUGGGGCUAAUACCGGAUAGGAGCUCCUGCUGCAUGGUGGGGGUUGGAAAGUUUCGGCGGUUGGGGAUGGACUCGCGGCUUAUCAGCUUGUUGGUGGGGUAGUGGCUUACCAAGGCUUUGACGGGUAGCCGGCCUGAGAGGGUGACCGGCCACAUUGGGACUGAGAUACGGCCCAGACUCCUGCGGGUGGCAGCAGUGGGGAAUAUUGCACAAUGGGCGGAAGCCUGAUGCAGCAACGCCGCGUGCGGGAUGACGGCCUUCGGGUUGUAAACCGCUUUCGCCUGUGACGAAGCGUGAGUGACGGUAAUGGGUAAAGAAGCACCGGCUAACCACGUG